AUUGAACGCUGGCGGCAGGCCUAACACAUGCAAGUCGCACGAGUGGCGGACGGGUGAGUAAUGUCUGGGAAACUGCCCGAUGGAGGGGGAUAACUACUGGAAACGGUAGCUAAUACCGCAUACCAUCGGAUGUGCCCAGAUGGGAUUAGCUAGUAGGUGGGUUAAAGGCUCACCUAGGCGACGAUCCCUAGCUGGUCUGAGAGGAUGACCAGCCAGACUGGAACGGAGACACGGUCAAGACUCCUACGGGAGGAAGAAGUGGGGAAUAUUGCACAAUGGGAGCAAGCCUGAUGCAGCCAUGCCGCGUGUAUGAAGAAGGCCUUCGGGUUGUAAAGUACUUUCAGCGGGGAGGCGUUACCCGCAGAAGAAGCACCGGCUAACUCCGUGCCAGCAGCCGCGGUAAUAC
rnacentral:rRNA from 1 species